rnacentral:tRNA from 1 species
AAGGGUAUAGCUAGGUGGUGGAGUAUGUGCUUAGCAUGCAUGAGAUCCUGGGUUCAAUCCCCAGCACCUCCA